AGCAUGGAGGGUGGGGAGAUCCUUUGUAUGACUGAGCUAAGAAGUCACACGGCAUCACUUCCAUCGCUGCUCCAUUGGUCAGCAGUCACAGGUUUCCACUCAGAUUCAAAGAGAGGGAACAGGGGCCGCGCGCUCGCCUCCCCGCGCGAGCUCCCCAGGGUCGCCCCGCCAGCGCCUGGCGCGGGUGCGGACGGCGCCUUUUGUGCCCGGGGGCUCCUGGAAGUUCGCGGCGGGACGCGCACGGGGAGGCGGCCGAGGACGCCCCGCGUCGCAGGGGCCGGGGCGCCGAGCAUGGGCGGCGGGCGCUGGGCCGCGGCAGGCGCGCUGCUGGCGCUGGCCGCCGGGCUCCUGGCCGCGGGCUCGGCCAGCGAGUACGACUACGUGAGCUUCCAGUCGGACGUUGGCGCGUACCAGAGCGGGCGUUUCUACACCAAGCCGCCGCAGUGCGUGGACAUCCCGGUGGACCUGCGGCUGUGCCACACCGUGGGCUACAAGAGGAUGGUGCUGCCCAACCUGCUGGAGCACGAGACCAUGGCCGAGGUGAAGCAGCAGGCCAGCAGCUGGGUGCCCCUGCUCAACAAGAACUGCCACAUCGGCACCCAGGUCUUCCUCUGCUCGCUCUUCGCGCCCGUCUGCCUGGACCGGCCCAUCUACCCGUGCCGCUGGCUCUGCGAGGCCGUGCGAGACUCGUGCGAGCCCGUCAUGCAGUUCUUCGGCUUCUACUGGCCCGAGAUGCUCAAGUGCGACAAGUUCCCCGAGGGCGACGUCUGCAUCGCCAUGACCCCACCCAACGCCACCGAGGCCUCCAAGCCCCAAGGCACGACGGUGUGUCCUCCCUGUGACAACGAGCUGAAAUCUGAAGCCAUAAUCGAGCAUCUCUGUGCCAGCGAGUUUGCCCUGAGGAUGAAAAUCAAAGAAGUGAAAAAGGAAAAUGGCGACAAGAAGAUUGUUCCCAAGAAGAAGAAGACCCUGAAGCUGGGGCCCAUCAAGAAGAAGGAGUUGAAGAAGCUGGUCCUGUACCUGAAGAAUGGGGCCGACUGCCCCUGUCACCAGCUGGACAACCUCAGCCACCACUUCCUCAUCAUGGGCCGCAAGGUCAAGAGCCAGUACCUGCUGACGGCCAUCCAUAAGUGGGACAAGAAAAACAAAGAAUUCAAAAACUUCAUGAAGAAGAUGAAGAAUCACGAAUGUCCCACUUUCCAGUCGGUCUUUAAGUGAUUCUCGUGGGG